rnacentral:rRNA from 1 species
UACAGAGGGUGCAAGCGUUAAUCGGAAUUACUGGGCGUAAAGCGUGCGCAGACGGUUCCGUAAGUCAGAUGUGAAAGCCCCGGGCUCAACCUGGGAAUUGCAUUUGAGACUGCGUAGCUAGGGUGCGGAAGAGGGAAGCGGAAUUUCCGGUGUAGCGGUGAAAUGCGUAGAUAUCGGAAGGAACACCAGUGGCGAAAGCGGCUUCCUGGUCCAGCACCGACGUUCAGGCACGAAAGCGUGGGGAGCAAACAGG